rnacentral:tRNA from 1 species
GCAUUGGUGGUUUAGUGUUCGAAUUCUAGCUUUCUGUGUGGAAGACCUUGGUUCGAUUCCUGGCCGAUGCA